UACGAAGGGGGCUAGCGUUGCUCGGAAUCACUGGGCGUAAAGCGCACGUAGGCGGAUUGCUAAGUCAGGGGUGAAAUCCUGGAGCUCAACUCCAGAACUGCCUUUGAUACUGGCGAUCUUGAGUCCGGGAGAGGUGAGUGGAACUGCGAGUGUAGAGGUGAAAUUCGUAGAUAUCAGUCGGAACACCGGUGGCGAAGGCGGCUUCUUGGGCCAUUUCUGACGCUGAGGCGCGAAAGCUAGGGGAGCAAACGGG
rnacentral:rRNA from 1 species